ensembl:lncRNA
AUACAGCAGGUAAUUACACAUGUAUUGUCUCUGUAUAUGCAGCAGGUAAUUACACAUUGUCUCUAUAUAUACAGCAGGUAAUUACACAUUGUCUCUAUAUAUACAGCAGGUAAUUACACAUGUAUUGUCUCUGUAUAUGCAGCAGGUAAUUACACAUUGUCUCUAUAUAGCAAGUAAUUACACAUGUAUUGUCUCUAUAUAUACAGCAGGUAAUUACACAUGUAUUGUCUCUAUAUAUACAGCAGGUAAUUACACAUGUAUUGUCUCUAUAUAUACAGCAGGUAAUUACACACGUAUUGUCUCUAUAUAUACAGCAGGUAAUUACACAUGUAUUGUCUCUGUAUAUGCAGCAGGUAAUUACACAUGUAUUGUCUCUAUAUAAACAGCAGGUAAUUACACAUGUAUUGUCUCUAUAUAUACAGUAGGUAAUUAAACACGUAUUGUCUCUAUAUAAACAGCAGGUAAUUUCACAUGUAUUGUCUCUAUAUACAGUAGGUAAUUACACAUGUAUUGUCUCUAUAUAUACAGUAGGUAAUUACACACGUAUUGUCUCUAUAUAAACAGCAGGUAAUUUCACAUGUAUUGUCUCUAUAUAUACAGCAGGUAAUUACACACGUAUUAGCAGGUAAAUACACAUGUAUUGUCUCUAUAUAUACAGUAGGUAAUUACACACGUAUUGUCUCUAUAUAAACAGCAGGUAAUUUCACAUGUAUUGUCUCUAUAUAUACAGUAGGUAAUUACACAUGUAUUGUCUCUAUAUAUACAGUAGGUAAUUACACAUGUAUUGUCUCUAUAUAUACAGCAGGUAAUUACACAUGUAUUGUCUCUAUAUAAACAGCAGGUAAUUACACACGUAUUGUCUCUAUAUAAACAGCAGGUAAUUUCACAUGUAUUGUCUCUGUAUACACAGCAGGUAAUUACACACGUAUUGUCUCUAUAUAAACAGCAGGUAAUUACACACGUAUUGUCUCUAUAUAAACAGCAGGUAAUUUCACAUGUAUUGUCUCUGUAUACACAGCAGGUAAUUACACACUUAUUGUCUCUAUAUAAACAGCAGGUAAUUACACAUGUAUUGUCUAUAUAUACCGCAGGUAAUUACACAUGUAUUGUCUAUAUAUACAGCAGGUAAUUACACAUGUAUUGUCUCUAUAUAUACAGCAGGUAAUUACACAUGUAUUGUCUCUAUAUAUACAGCAGGUAAUUACACAUUGUCUCUAUAUAUACAGCAGGUAAUUACACAUGUAUUGUCUCUAUAUAUGCAGCAGGUAAUUACACAUUGUCUCUAUAUAGCAAGUAAUUACACAUGUAUUGUCUCUAUAUAUACAGCAGGUAAUUACACAUGUAUUGUCUCUAUAUAUACAGCAGGUAAUUACACAUGUAUUGUCUCUAUAUAUACAGCAGGUAAUUACACAUGUAUUGUCUCUAUAUAUACAGCAGGUAAUUACACAUGUAUUGUCUCUGUAUAUGCAGCAGGUAAUUACACAUUGUCUCUAUACAGCAAGUAAUUACACAUGUAUUGUCUCUAUAUAUACAGCAGGUAAUUACACACGUAUUGUCUCUAUAUAUAAAGCAGGUAAUUACACAUGUAUUGUCUCUAUAUAUACAGCAGGUAAUUACACAUUGUCUCUAUAUAUACAGCAGGUAAUUACACAUGUAUUGUCUCUAUAUAUACAGCAAGUAAUUACACAUGUAUUGUCUCUAUAUACAGCAGGUAAUUACACAUGUAUUGUCUCUGUAUAUGCAGCAGGUAAUUACACAUUGUCUCUAUAUAGCAAGUAAUUACACAUGUAUUGUCUCUAUAUAGCAGGUAAUUAAAGAUUAUAACACCUUUAUAACCUCUGCUACAAUACUACAGUAUUCCACAUACACCAUACACUACACUUAUCACUAUACACAGCCAAUUACACAUGUAUUACAUAUUUAGCAGGUUACAUAACUCUUAACCAGUUUAUAAAUCAUGCAACCAGUUAGUAAAGUCCCACUGAAGCCCUAGCAUCUAUUGGUCAGUAGAUCUGAAGCCCUAGCAUCUAUUGGUCAGUAGAUCUGAAGCCCUAGCAUCUAUUGGUCAGUAGAUCU